rnacentral:ncRNA from 2 species
UCUCCCUUUCGUGGUGAUUUGGCCGGUCGGCUUGCAGCCACGUUAAACAAGUCGCUAAAAGGCCGCGCGGACCCGCCA